rnacentral:tRNA from 1 species
GCAAUGGUGGUUCAGUGGUAGAAUUCUUGCCUUCGACAUGGGAGACCCAGGUUCAGUUCCUGGCCAAUGUG